rnacentral:rRNA from 1 species
GAUGAACGCUGUCUACAGGCUUAACACAUGCAAGUCGAGGGGAAACGACGGGGAAGCUUGCUUCCCCGGGCGUCGACCGGCGCACGGGUGAGUAACGCGUAUCCAACCUGCCUCUGACUGAGGGAUAACCCGUCGAAAGUCGGCCUAAUACCUCAUGGCAUCGUCUGCGGGCAUCCAACGACGAUUAAAGAUUUCAUCGGUCAGGGAUGGGGAUGCGUCUGAUUAGCUUGUUGGCGGGGUAACGGCCCACCAAGGCUACGAUCAGUAGGGGUUCUGAGAGGAAGGUCCCCCACAUUGGAACUGAGACACGGUCCAAACUCCUACGGGAGGCAGCAGUGAGGAAUAUUGGUCAAUGGGCGGGAGCCUGAACCAGCCAAGUAGCGUGCAGGAUGACGGCCCUAUGGGUUGUAAACUGCUUUGAUGCGGGGAUAAAGUGAGGGACGUGUCCUUCAUUGCAGGUACCGCAUGAAUAAGGACCGGCUAAUUCCG